rnacentral:rRNA from 1 species
CCUACGGGAGGCAGCAGUGAGGAAUAUUGGUCAAUGGGCGCUAGCCUGAACCAGCCAAGUAGCGUGAAGGAUGACUGCCCUAUGGGUUGUAAACUUCUUUUAUAUGGGAAUAAAGUGCAGUAUGUAUACUGUUUUGCAUGUACCUUAUGAAUAAGGAUCGGCUAACUCCGUGCCAGCAGCCGCGGUAAUACGGAGGAUUCGAGCGUUAUCCGGAUUUAUUGGGUUUAAAGGGAGCGUAGAUGGGUUGUUAAGUCAGUUGUGAAAGUUUGCGGCUCAACCGUAAAAUUGCAGUUGAUACUGGCAGUCUUGAGUACAGUAGAGGUAGGCGGAAUUCGUGGUGUAGCGGUGAAAUGCUUAGAUAUCACGAAGAACUCCGAUUGCGAAGGCAGCCUGCUGGACUGUAACUGACGUUGAUGCUCGAAAGUGUGGGUAUCAAACAGGAUUAGAUACCCCAGUAGUC